rnacentral:rRNA from 1 species
AGUAAAAGUCGUAACAAGGUUUCCGUAGGUGAACCUGCGGAAGGAUCAUUACAGAAUGAAAAGUGCUUAACUGCAUUUUUUCUUACACAUGUGUUUUUCUUUUUUUGAAAACUUUGCUUUGGUAGGCCUUCUAUAUGGGGCCUGCCAGAGAUUAAACUCAACCAAAUUUUAUUUAAUGUCAACCGAUUAUUUAAUAGUCAAAACUUUCAACAACGGAUCUCUUGGUUCUCGCAUCGAUGAAGAACGCAGCGAAAUGCGAUAAGUAAUAUGAAUUGCAGAUAUUCGUGAAUCAUCGAAUCUUUGAACGCACAUUGCGCCCUUUGGUAUUCCAAAGGGCAUGCCUGUUUGAGCGUCAUUUCUCCCUCAAACCCUCGGGUUUGGUGUUGAGCGAUACGCUGGGUUUGCUUGAAAGAAAGGCGGAGUAUAAACUAAUGGAUAGGUUUUUUCCACUCAUUGGUACAAACUCCAAAACUUCUUCCAAAUUCGACCUCAAAUCAGGUAGGACUACCCGCUGAACUUAAG